rnacentral:rRNA from 1 species
GACGAACGCUGGCGGCGUGCUUAACACAUGCAAGUCGAACGGAAAGGCCCUGCUUUUGUGCGGUGCCGGAGGGGCGAUCGCGGGCGUAAGACGUGAGUAACCGGCUCUUGACUUUGGGAGAACUUCAGGAAAGGGGGGCUAAUACAGGACAGGAGCUCCUGUUGCAUGGUGAGCGUUGGAUAGUUUCGGCCGUUGGGGCUGGACUCGCGGCUGAUGAGCUUGUUGGUGGGGGAGGGGCUUACCAAGGCAUUGACGGGUCGCCGGCCGGAGAGGGUGGCCGGCCACCUUGGGCCUGCGGUACGCACCAGUCGCCAACGGUAGGCAGCGGUGGGGAACAUUGCACAAUGGGCGGACGCCUGAUGAGGCGGCGCCGCGGGCGGGAUGACGGCCUUCGGGUUGUAAACCGCUUUAGGCUGUGACGAAGCGUGAGUGACGGUACUGAGUAAAGAAGCACCGGCUAACUACGUG